rnacentral:rRNA from 1 species
UACGAAGGGGGCUAGCGUUGUUCGGAAUUACUGGGCGUAAAGCGCACGUAGGCGGACUAUUAAGUCAGGGGUGAAAUCCCGGGGCUCAACCCCGGAACUGCCUAUGAUACUGGUAGUCUCGAGUCCGGAAGAGGUGAGUGGAAUUCCGAGUGUAGAGGUGAAAUUCGUAGAUAUUCGGAGGAACACCAGUGGCGAAGGCGGCUCACUGGUCCGGUACUGACGCUGAGGUGCGAAAGCGUGGGGAGCAAACAGG